rnacentral:rRNA from 1 species
UACGUAGGAUGCGAGCGUUGUCCGGAAUUAUUGGGCGUAAAGAGAACGUAGGCGGCUUUGUAAGUUCGGUCUUAAAGACCGGGGCUUAACCCCGGGAAUGGAUUGAAGACUGCAAGGCUAGAGGAUGUCAGAGGAUGGUGGAAUUCCAAGUGUAGCGGUGAAAUGCGUAGAUAUUUGGAGGAACACCUGUGGCGAAAGCGGCCAUCUGGGGCAUUCCUGACGCUGAGGUUCGAAAGCUCGGGGAGCAAACAGG